rnacentral:rRNA from 1 species
UACGUAGGUGGCAAGCGUUGUCCGGAUUUACUGGGCGUAAAGAGCGCGCAGGCGGUCAGAUAAGUCGAAUGUGAAAGCCCCCGGCUCAACUGGGGAGGGUCAUUCGAUACUGUUCGACUUGAAGGCAGGAGAGGGAAGCGGAAUUCCCGGUGUAGUGGUGAAAUGCGUAGAUAUCGGGAGGAACACCAGUGGCGAAGGCGGCUUUCUGGCCUGUUCUUGACGCUGAGGCGCGAAAGCCAGGGGAGCAAACGGG